UGCCCAGCAAUUCCUAUCCCUACCUCCUCACGGUACCGGCCGGAAACUAUGAGCAACCUUAGGGAAGAUCGGGUAACCAACCCCGGUGGGAACUUUGGUCGUAGGCUGACAGGGAAGG
rnacentral:ribozyme from 1 species